rnacentral:tRNA from 1 species
CGGCGUAUAGGCCAGCGUGGCCCAGUCCGCCGCAUUUCCAAUUCGGUAGGGAUUGGGUUCGAUGCCCACGCCGCCGC